ensembl:snoRNA U3 Small nucleolar RNA U3
AAGACUAUACUUUCAGGGAUCAUUUCUAUAGUUUUUUACUUGAGAAAUGUGUUUUUAAUGGGUAUGGUCUCGCUAACCAUGAUGAUGAGUUGUGAUAUUCUCUUCUGAGCAUGAAGUGGAUAGAGAGAAAUGAUUAAUGUCAUACACUCUAUUAGUGAUGGGUUUUCGAGGCUUUGUUGAAGCCUCGACACCUGAUUCAAGAAAAAGGU